rnacentral:lncRNA from 1 species
GUUGCUGUCAGGCAGGCACUGUUGACUGUAGAAACCUCAUGCUUAGCUUUUAGAGCUUUAGAGCUGGUUGGUUCCACUUGUUUCAUGCUUGGUUUCUCUUGUUUUGUUGAGUGCUUACUAAAACAUCAAAAACAAUCAUGAUUGAUCUCUUGCUGCAUAGAUAGACUGUUAGACAACAAACAUAUCAGGUAAGACAGUAAGAUUUAGCAAGGUUUUAAAAGCACAUAUUUUAGCCAAAUACUGCAUAGAUAAUGGAUUAGAUAAUACUCAUGAGUUCGAUCUGCGUUUCUUUCUCUCUCAAACUUUCUGCAGCUACCAUUGUUCGUGGUCGUUGACUGGAUGUUUGUUCCUGCAAGUCCCCCCCAUUUCUGGACAUUGGCUGGAGUUUACUUUGCAGAGUUUGAUGGAGAGGCACGUAUCUCAAAGAAAUAAACAUGCAGUCUGAAAAACAUUAUCUUUCAAACCAUUAACUCUAGUUUUAUUAGCUUUUCAUUUUUCAUUCAAUUUGCAAAAAAUCAAAGACUGUGGUUUACAAACGGAGAGAAUUACUACGAUGCAAUUUUGGAAGUCAAACCUUCUGAAGCUUAGCUCCUAAUUACUUGAUCACUAGGAAUGCAAGUCAAAUAGGAAUAAUUUGGAGUGGGAAACCAUUACAACACCCUCAUUACAUUUUAUUUUCUGUCCACUUGUAAUCCUCAUGGUACUACCCUUCAUUAUUUUAAUGAGAAAUACUUAUUUUUUUGCAAAAAAA